CUCCCAAUCUCUCAAAGAGAGUUUAAUAAUGUUCAAGAUGACUUACCUCAACAUGUUCAAAACAGAUCACCCCAGCCUAUAGGGGGAUUGAAUAAGUUGGAUUUGAGAAUCUAAACUCGUCGGAACAAAAUAGAUAAGGCCAUUGAGCAUGACAUGACACUCCUAAUCAAUCAGAUUCCUGUAUUUAGAGCCUGAACAACCUGAGGUAUGUAAUGAGUCCCCUUUUAUCCAUGCUAAGGUCCCUUUCUAUCCGUGCUAGUACUAAUCUUGAUUAUGAUCUUAAUGUCCCUAUCGCCCUAAAAAAAGGGCUAGAGCUUAUACCAAACACCCCAUCUAUAAUGUUUCUUAUGACUCAUUAUCCCUGCCCUAUAGAGCCUUUGUCUUGCCUAUUUCUUUUAUUUCUAUCCCACAGGAUUGGAAUGAAGCAUAUCUUUAUUCAAAAUGGAAGGCUGCUCUGGUUGAGGAGAUGAAAGCUUUGG
rnacentral:misc_RNA from 1 species